UACGUAGGGGGCUAGCGUUGUCCGGAAUCAUUGGGCGUAAAGAGCGUGUAGGCGGCCCGGUAAGUCCGCUGUGAAAGUCGGGGGCUCAACCCUCGAAUGCCGGUGGAUACUGCCGGACUAGAGUUCGGAAGAGGCGAGUGGAAUUCCCGGUGUAGCGGUGAAAUGCGCAGAUAUCGGGAGGAACACCAAUGGCGAAGGCAGCUCGCUGGGACGUUACUGACGCUGAGACGCGAAAGCGUGGGGAGCAAACAGG
rnacentral:rRNA from 1 species